GAGUUUGAUCCUGGCUCAGGAUGAACGCUGGCGGCGUGCUUAACACAUGCAAGUCGAACGAACCUUCGGGUUAGUGGCGGACGGGUGAGUAACGCGUGGGAAUCUGCCCUCAGGAGGGGGAUAACGGUUGGAAACGACCGCUAAUACCCCAUAUGCCGAGAGGUGAAAUGAAUUUCGCCUGAGGAUGAGCCCGCGUCUGAUUAGCUAGUUGGUGAGGUAAGAGCUCACCAAGGCAUCGAUCAGUAGCUGGUCUGAGAGGAUGAUCAGCCACACUGGGACUAAGACACGGCCCAGACUCCUACGGGAGGCAGCAGUGGGGAAUUUUCCGCAAUGGGCGAAAGCCUGACGGAGCAACGCCGCGUGAGGGAUGAAGGCCUCUGGGCUGUAAACCUCUUUUAUCAAGGAAGAAGAUCUGACGGUACUUGAUGAAUAAGCCACGGCUAAUUCCGUGCCAGCAGCCGCGGUAAUACGGGAGUGGCAAGCGUUAUCCGGAAUUAUUGGGCGUAAAGCGUCCGCAGGCGGCCCUUCAAGUCUGCUGUUAAAAAGUGGAGCUUAACUCCAUCAUGGCAGUGGAAACUGUUGGGCUUGAGUGUGGUAGGGGCAGAGGGAAUUCCCGGUGUAGCGGUGAAAUGCGUAGAUAUCGGGAAGAACACCAGUGGCGAAGGCGCUCUGCUGGGCCAUCACUGACGCUCAUGGACGAAAGCCAGGGGAGCGAAAGGGAUUAGAUACCCCUGUAGUCCUGGCCGUAAACGAUGAACACUAGGUGUCGGGGGAAUCGACCCCUCCGGUGUCGUAGCCAACGCGUUAAGUGUUCCGCCUGGGGAGUACGCACGCAAGUGUGAAACUCAAAGGAAUUGACGG
rnacentral:rRNA from 1 species